rnacentral:rRNA from 1 species
AAUGAACGCUGGCGGCAUGCCUAACACAUGCAAGUCGAACGAAGGCUUCGGCCUUAGUGGCGCACGGGUGCGUAACGCGUGGGAAUCUGCCCUCAGGUUCGGAAUAACAGCGAGAAAUUGCUGCUAAUACCGGAUGAUAUCGCGAGAUCAAAGAUUUAUCGCCUGAGGAUGAGCCCGCGUAGGAUUAGCUAGUUGGUGUGGUAAAGGCGCACCAAGGCGACGAUCCUUAGCUGGUCUGAGAGGAUGAUCAGCCACACUGGGACUGAGACACGGCCCAGACUCCUACGGGGGGAAGCAGUGGGGAAUAUUGGACAAUGGGCGAAAGCCUGAUCCAGCAAUGCCGCGUGAGGGAUGAAGGCCUAGGGUUGUAAAGCUCUUUUACCCGGGAUGAUAAUGACAGUACCGGGAGAAUAAGCUCCGGCUAACUCCGUGCCAGCCGCCGCAGUAA